UUUCCUAAAGUCUCUAGAUCUGGAUGUCCUGAACCGUUUCACAUCUGGUAGAUCUGGCGGUAUGUGGUGUUGCUGCGCCCGAACCACUUCUCUCUAGGCGGUGUGGUGUUGCCUCCGGCGUUGGUGUCUUGUUGCGGCGGUGGAAAAGGCAUCCAUGUAGAUGUAUUAAUGGAUGGAUGCUCAAAUUCAGGGGGAAAGGCGACAGCACAAAACUCUUUGAAUCUUAUUCCGUCAACAAAACUAAAAGGUAGUCCAUCAAUAAUAAUCAUCUCGGCAAUAGCUUUCCAAACUGUACCAUUAUCAUACUUGCCAGUUGAGGAAUAGUGAUCAUCACUCCCCAAAUCAUCAUCUUCAUCCCCAUAUUCCCUCAUAAGCACUCUCACACACAAGACACUUAGAACCUACAGCCAUCUCUCUGCCACAGCAUUCAUACCGAGCUGCCUGACUGCCCUCUUUAUCUUCAAUUUUGUCAAGGCAUUGUUUUAGUUUCUUGUUACUGGUAUUAUUGCUAGGGUUUCCAGAUUGCAUUACAUGUUGGUUUUCCUCGGUUGGUCUCAGAUACUCUAGCUUGUGGUAGAUUUAGUUCAUGUAAGUCAUCCAUCUGCAAUAAAUUUGAAUACAACUAACCUUCAGGAUUUUGUGUUUU